rnacentral:lncRNA from 1 species
AGCAUGUUGUCUCUUUCAGCCAUUACAUCAGGAUACCGACUCAGUUUCUGCCUGGUGUCUUGAUGAAAUUAUUUCUGCGAAAGUAGGAACUGGGCCAUAAAAUCCCCCUUUCACUUCCUGAAAUGAGUAGAGAGGAAGAGAUGGCUGUGGACAUGGAGGUGCACGCAGUUAAAGUGAAUAGAGAGGCAGGAGGAUCAGAGCCAAGGUUCAAGGCAAAGAAUGGAAGUGUGUUUCCAAAGAAGAAGAAGCUGGUGAAGAAGAUGAUGCUUGAUUGCAUGGUCAAGUUUUUCUCUUCUCUUUUUUCUUCAUCUAAACCCUCUCAAUCCAACCAACUCCAAAGGCAGAAUGUCAAGUAUUGUUAGAAAAUUAACAUUCCCAUUAUCCCAUAGGCAUAUCAAUUAUAAAUGUUACAUGACAGAACUUGCUCUGUUCCUCUUCUUAUUAUUCUGUUUCAAGUUUAGGCUCUUACCAAUACAAUAUGUGAUGCUG